UACGUAGGGGGCAAGCGUUAUCCGGAAUUACUGGGUGUAAAGGGAGAGUAGGCGGCAAGGUAAGCGAUAUGUGAAAGCCUUAGGCUUAACCAAAGGAUUGCAUAACGAACUAUCUAGCUAGAGUACAGGAGAGGAAAGCGGAAUUCCUAGUGUAGCGGUGAAAUGCGUAGAUAUUAGGAAGAACACCAGUGGCGAAGGCGGCUUUCUGGACUGAAACUGACGCUGAGGCUCGAAAGCGUGGGGAGCGAACAGG
rnacentral:rRNA from 1 species